UCAAGAUACUGAAGGAUUUUAUUAAUCACAUCAACUUUACACUUACAAACACCAUCUCUCUCACUCCUAGCUACUCUAGACUAUCCCAUUACAUCAAGAAGAAGAAAAAGGAAAAAGGGGCGUGCGUGAGGGAGUGAAGAAUAGCUGUGACAGCAGCUCACCCCCUCCCCUUCCCUCUGUAGCAGCAGUUCGGCCAUGCCAAGGUACAUCUAGGGGUCUUUCAGCCACCCCUAUGACUGCCACAACCUAUCCACCCACUGCAGCCUCAAAGCUAUCAGCCAACAUCCACCCUUAUACAACCCAGCCAUCAACUUUUUCAAGCUCCCUUAACAGAAUUCGAAGAAAGAGAGAAGGGAUGAAACUUCUGCCAAAACUCCAAGGUAAACCUUGGCUCUAAUCCCUCCACUUCCUUCUUGAAUUUUCAGCCUGCAUUCAAUAUGAAAACAAUCCACAAUUCAUUUCAGUUCCUAUCCUCUGGAUUCAACAACAGCAGCAGCCAACCAUGCACCAAACAUUCGCAAAGCAUUCAAGGUCAAGUAGGCGAGUAAAAGCUAGUCAGGAGUCACUAAGAUAUGACAAAGGUUUGCUUAUCAGGUUGAGCAAUGGUUGAUGAAGAUGAAGUGAGGAGCGGAGCUUUUGUCAUAAGUUGAUUGAAUAAACUCUUGGAUACAUGUCUUCAUACAUGUAAUCAGAUUAUUAUUUCCGCUGCGUAUUCUUAAGUAAUAAGCCUUUUGAAUUAAGUCGGAUUCAUCCGAACUUACUAGUUAAUUGAAUCUUUGUGGCUAAACAUAAGUUACAUUAUAA